rnacentral:rRNA from 1 species
ACCAAGGCGACGAUCUUUAGCUGGUCUGAGAGGAUGAUCAGCCACACUGGGACUGAGACACGGCCCUUACUCCUACGGGAGGCAGCAGUGGGGAAUAUUGGACAAUGGGCGAAAGCCUGAUCCAGCAAUGCCGCGUGAGUGAUGAAGGCCUUAGGGUUGUAAAGCUCUUUUACCCGGGAUGAUAAUGACAGUACCGGGAGAAUAAGCUCCGGCUAACUCCGUGCCAGCAGCCGCGGUAAUA